UACAGAGGGUGCAAGCGUUGUUCGGAAUUACUGGGCGUAAAGCGCGUGUAGGCGGCUAAGUAAGUCGGGCGUGAAAUCCCACGGCUCAACCGUGGAAGUGCACUCGAAACUGCAUAGCUAGAGUCCUGGAGAGGAAGGUGGAAUGCUUGGUGUAGAGGUGAAAUUCGUAGAUAUCAAGCGGAACACCGGUGGCGAAGGCGGCAUCCUGGACCGACACUGACACUGAGGAGCGAAAGCCAGGGGAGCAAACGGG
rnacentral:rRNA from 1 species